CAGUACUGCUAAGUCUCACAAGUUGUAUUUCUUGUACUUGGCUGUGUUUGCUGUCUGCCAGGUUCUGGAGUUCAUAUCUGACAACUGGAAUGAGAAUUGUGUAAGCCUGGAUUGGUGGAACAGGCAUGGAUCAUAUAAGAAGAAGAUGAUAGGUAGCAAUGAAUCCUCUACUGAAGGACCAGUGCCUACGUCCUACUUAACCUUCCUGGCUUACUUACUGGGACAAUGGACUGGUGUAGAACACACUGAAGAUUAUCUGAGUUAUGGAGUCUACCUUUCAUGGGUGCUUUUUCCACUUGCAAUAGCUUUUAUACUUCCAGUAGCUAUCUUCUUCUUCUGCCUCAACACUUCCCUUCUCCUUCUUCAUAUUCAUAAAAGGAGGAAGACUGGAUUUAAUGAAGGACAUUCUGGUGAUGUUUGGUAUGGUGCAAAAGAAAUGUUGGCUAACCUGUGGGAUGGACAUGGGAGAAUAUGGCAUGGUUAUGAACUUCAUGGGGAUGAAAAUAUUCCGGAAGGACCAGCACUUAUUGUGUUUUAUCAUGGAGCUAGUCCUGUUGACUAUCUCUAUUUCAUGGCUAGACUUCUUAUACGAAGGAAGAGAUAUUGCCACGUAGUAGCGGAUCAUUUCGUCUUUAGAUUACCAGGUUUAAAAACGUUUAUUGAAGUACUUGGCGUUAUGCAUGGACCAAAAGAAGUAUGUGUCAGUGCUCUGAAGAAAGGCUACCUGUUAGCUAUUUCUCCAGGUGGAGUUCGAGAAGCUCUCUUUAGUGAUGAAACAUAUGCUAUUAUGUGGGGUAAUCGAAAGGGCUUUGCCCAGGUGGCCAUCGAUGCAAAAGUGCCCAUCAUUCCUAUGUUUACACAAAAUGUUCGAGAAGGCAUUAGGACAUUAGGAGGAAUAAAAAUACUUAGGAAGCUGUAUGAACGUAUUAGAUUGCCAGUUGUUCCUAUGUAUGGCUGGUUUCCAGUCAAGCUUCGUACGUUUAUUGGAGAACCCAUUCCGUAUGAUCCAAAUAUAACUGCUGAGGAACUGACUGCGAAGACAAAAGCAGCACUCCAGGCUCUAAUAGCCAAACAUCAGAAAAUACCAGGAAAUAUACUGAGGGCUUUAAUGGAACGAUUUCAAACACGACAGAAAGAAGACUAAGGUCUUCUGAGGGAAUUCAUACCGGACUGGAAAUACAUUGCAGUGACUUCUCAGCCAAAGCUCAGGGAGGGGUGUGUCAUACCCAGAUCAUCAGCCCAUUUCACCAUGUAAACCAAGGCACACACUGGUUUGGACUGCUUCAGAUCAUGGAUAAACAUUCCCACAGCGCAACGUGCCUUUGUACAGUUCCAUUGGGUUGAGUGGCAGGUAAUGAAUGAAGACCAUCACCAGUGCUCACGUGCUCAGCAGGAGACACAAGAAACUUUCAGAUAUGAUGAUAAGUGAAGUGACAUAUCAAAGUCUGAGAAUUUGCAUGUCAGCACAAAAGACCCUGAGAUGAAGCUGGGGGCAAACGCUGACACAGGAUACCUACCAGACCACUCUGACCAACCAGAGGAACUGAUCUGUGGGGCAAGUUUCCUGCUGCUAUCAAGACGUUGGUAGGACACUCCUGAGACCUCUAGCCAAAUGCCACAUAGGCACAAGGUAACCUCGUGGCAUCUUUCCCACACUGCGCCGGCAUGGAGGGCUGGAAUCAAAAUCACUGUGAGAAGCUGACAGCAUUUGAAGUGAAGUCUCAGAUGUAACAGAUGGCAAGCACAGCCCCAAGCAAAAACAGAUUCCCAAAGGAAAGCACAAAAACAAAUACCAAACGGGCCUUUAAAGUAAAUGAAUAAACAAACAAACAAACAAAAAGAGAAAACCUUAAAGGGAAAUUCUUGGAAAAGUUACAAAAUCAUCUGAGAGAAAAGAAAGAUGGGUAGGAACAAAUGUGCAAUAAGGAAAGUGUGCUUUGCGUAAUGCUGCCCACUCCAUCUGAAGGAGCCUCCAGAUGUUCCGUGUUAUUCUCAUGUGACUGCGAGUUGUGAAAUAGCUGGUGUGCUGCAAAGUGAGAAAAUCAACGCUGUGUUCUAGGCAGCCUCUGAUAUCAGGGGAACAGCAGAAUUACUUAUUUGGUAAAAUCUGCUUCAGAGCAAGUUUCAGAAUUAGCUCAUCACUCACAACAACACCUUUUACAAGUCGAUGUGAGUUGUCUCCUCGGGAAAAAGCAGCUGGCAGAUGCAGCAGUCAAAACCUAUUUUUCCAAAAGCAGCCUCUAAUCUGAACAUAGAGACACUGUGAGUAUUCAGUCUGAAAAACAAGGGCUGCAUUUUUCAGAGCUGCUGAGCAUUGCUGGGUGCUGUCUAAGAGUGCUGGAACUGCAAGCCCUGACCACCCUCCAGAAUGAUGCCAGAGCAAGCUCCAGCUGAACCACUCAUACCCCACAGACAUCAUUGCCCAGUGACUUUUUGUUGCUGACUGCAGGUGGAAACAAGCAUCCCUCCUGUGCACGUUGCAAGCCCAGAGCCUCAAUGACAAUCUAAGUCAGAAAUAGAUGGAGACAACCAACAGGAAACGCAGAUGCUUCUGGCACCAGGCCCAUGCUCAGACAACCUUCCCCUUAAUUUUAUUGAGACUUUUUUUUUUUUUGGUGCAGCAGUGGAAUUGAUCAAAUUCCAAGUCUGUACUAACUUUAGAGAUACCAAAAAUUUAAAAUCAAUAUAAGGUUAGCUUGCUUAAAACUUUGGGACUGCUUGGAGAAGAAUCGCGGGAGUCCAUAUAUCAGUAAUAAUCCGUUUGCUCACUUUCCUUAUUUAUAAUAAUAGAGUACAUAAGCUUAUCCUUCCACGUUUUGAGACAAUAUUGUUGAAUUGCUGUCUCUCUCUGAGCUGAUCUGCUUGGUUAACAAUGCACAUAUGGCAGUAGCACAAUGGUUGGUAACACUUACUGUGCUUAUUGGUGUGCUCAGGGCAGUACAGCUUAUGCUCACAGCACUUAAUUAGAACCUGACUGAAAAGAAAUGGCUUGAUUGCUGGAAGACCCACUAGGUAUAAGUCUUCAGUUUUGUAUAUAGUAUCCUAUGAAUGAGAAAUCUUUCCAAGUGGGAAAAAUUGAGUGCUUAAGAAUGAAUGCAAAGUCUACAAUAUGCAUGAGCAGGUGUGUCUGACCACAGGUCUGAACUGCUGCCACAGCAAACAAACUGUACAAUAUAGCACUUUCCUAUUUUUCUGUCUCAUUUCUACAGCACAGAAUUUAGUGAAGAGAUGUGUUUUAUAACUGUGCAGUACACAGGAAAAGAACUGUCCAUCUCUGUUCAGCCUGUCCAAGAUUCCCAUUGCGGUGGUAGGAAGAUACAGCUCCCUCCCAUACAAACGGGUCUGUGUGUACUUUCUGAGCUAUGUUAACUGAGUGAAUGUAGUGUUAAUUACAUAUGAACUAAGUAGGGAAAAAACAUACUUGGAUAAUUUUGCCAAGGCACUUGGGGCUUUUAUUACCAAGUCUCUAUAUUUAGUUUAUCAGCAUGUUUUUCUACAGGAACCACAGCCAUUUUUCUCUCUCUCUCUUUUUUUUUUUAAAGUCAGGGGAGGUGAGAACUGCUCUGAAUUAGCACUGUUCAAGCAGCCUGUAAAAAAUUCUCUACUUCUUUCCUUUGUUAAGAAUCUAUUUAAAAUGUCUGCUAUCAUUGUUUAGCUUAAAAAGAAACUGCUUUGCUUCUUACAUCUCACAAGCUUACAUUAAAAGCAUCCAGGAGAAGGCUUUUGCAUCAGUGGUCAAUAAUGUGCCUAAAAAAUAUGUCAAUUCAAUCCCUUUUACCCCAGGGUAUGUAGUCCCACACCAUGGCAGCUACUCACCCACUUAAUGCUCCUUUACCUUUACCACCAAUUAUAAAAUUAUGGGAUAUCAUCAAAUGAACUUUCCAGUAUCCAA